CACAAAGUACCUACCAUAUAAAAAUUACGUAAAACCUAUCAAAAUUUAAAUGUCUAUAAAUAGCUCUAAAAUAGCUUAAAUGUUUUAUUUUAUUAGGAAACGGGUUGGGUUACCCAAACAUAGAAGAACAAGUAAUGUGAAAACAAUAUUUAAGUUACAGGUGGAAAUGUUGAAUAUAACUAAGAGAGCUCAAUAGCCAAAGUUAGAGUGCUCAUUGGCUAAAUGCAUUAAACGAUUAAGAGGAGAAUUCGAAAAAUAGAUAGAGGUGGAGAAAGGUAAGUAGGAGGAUUUUAAAGAUGCAAGUUGCCUAAAAAAU